rnacentral:rRNA from 1 species
GACGGACGCUGGCGGCGUGCCUAAUACAUGCAAGUUGAGCGCUGAAGGUUGGUACUUGUACCAACUGGAUGAGCAGCGAACGGGUGAGUAACGCGUGGGGAAUCUGCCUUUGAGCGGGGGACAACAUUUGGAAACGAAUGCUAAUACCGCAUAAAAACUUUAAACACAAGUUUUAAGUUUGAAAGAUGCAAUUGCAUCACUCAAAGAUGAUCCCGCGUUGUAUUAGCUAGUUGGUGAGGUAAAGGCUCACCAAGGCGAUGAUACAUAGCCGACCUGAGAGGGUGAUCGGCCACAUUGGGACUGAGACACGGCCCAAACUCCUACGGGAGGCAGCAGUAGGGAAUCUUCGGCAAUGGACGAAAGUCUGAUCGAGCAACGCCGCGUGAGUGAAGAAGGUUUUCGGAUCGUAAAACUCUGUUGGUAGAGAAGAACGUUGGUGAGAGUGGAAAGCUCAUCAAGUGACGGUAACGACCCAGAAAGGGACGGCUAACUACGU